rnacentral:rRNA from 1 species
AGUUUGAUCCUGGCUCAGGAUGAACGCUGGCGGCGUGCUUAACACAUGCAAGUCGAGCGAUGAAGUUUCCUUCGGGAAACGGAUUAGCGGCGGACGGGUGAGUAACACGUGGGUAACCUGCCUCAUAGAGUGGAAUAGCCUUCCGAAAGGAAGAUUAAUACCGCAUAACGUUGAAAGAUGGCAUCAUCAUUUAACCAAAGGAGCAAUCCGCUAUGAGAUGGACCCGCGGCGCAUUAGCUAGUUGGUGGGGUAACGGCCUACCAAGGCGACGAUGCGUAGCCGACCUGAGAGGGUGAUCGGCCACAUUGGGACUGAGACACGGCCCAGACUCCUACGGGAGGCAGCAGUGGGGAAUAUUGCACAAUGGGGGAAACCCUGAUGCAGCAACGCCGCGUGAGUGAUGAAGGUUUUCGGAUCGUAAAGCUCUGUCUUUGGGGAAGAUAAUGACGGUACCCAAGGAGGAAGCCACGGCUAACUACGUGCCAGCAGCCGCGGUAAUACGUAGGUGGCGAGCGUUAUCCGGAUUUACUGGGCGUAAAGGGAGCGUAGGCGGAUGAUUAAGUGGGAUGUGAAAUACCCGGGCUCAACUUGGGUGCUGCAUUCCAAACUGGUUAUCUAGAGUGCAGGAGAGGAGAGUGGAAUUCCUAGUGUAGCGGUGAAAUGCGUA